AACACGGUAGACAACAAACCCCUAAUACAGAGAAUAAAGAGAAGUCAGCAACACAGAGAGUGAAUAACUCAUCAAACAAAAGUACAAUUUUUUUGAUCCAGGGCUUAAAAAAAAUGUAUCAAUCUUAGACAGGAACAGAGUCCACAAAAGAUAAAGAGCUGUUCAGUCAGAAGAAUGAAUCUAUGUAGCUGGGUUCAGGAAGUAUUCUAUCAUAAAGCGCAGACAUAAAUGACUACGCAUCAAGACACCGCUUAACCAGCAAUCAAUCGAUAAGGCUUGAUUCAACAACAUUACCUAAACCUAUUAAAUUGAUAACCAAAAUGAAGAGAAGAAGAAAAAGACCUGCUUGGCCUUGUAGCCGAGAC
rnacentral:lncRNA from 1 species